UUCGAGCGCCGUUUAAAUAUUAAGGCUUUGCCUUUUGUUGAUGUUUAUCACCUUCAAAAGUGAUUCAUCCAAAAAUAUUGGCGUCAAUUAUUAGUCCAAGAAACGCAGUGAAAUGUGAAUCUAAACUAAUUGAUUUAUUGCCUUGUUUUACUCUUUCAAAACAUGGCCUCGGAUCAGAUAGGGAUACCCGCUGAACUUAA
rnacentral:misc_RNA from 1 species